UACAGAGGUCUCAAGCGUUGUUCGGAUUCAUUGGGCGUAAAGGGUGCGUAGGCGGCGCGGUAAGUCGGAUGUGAAAUCUCGGAGCUUAACUCCGAAACUGCAUUCGAUACUGCCGUGCUUGAGGACUGGAGAGGAGACUGGAAUUUACGGUGUAGCGGUGAAAUGCGUAGAUAUCGUAAGGAAGACCAGUGGCGAAGGCG
rnacentral:rRNA from 1 species